rnacentral:rRNA from 1 species
AUUAUCAAAAGAAAACAGAAAACAACUUCAGGGAAGAGGAAGCCACAAGGCAUCCACCCCCUGUCGGGCCACCCAAUACCUGCGAAACGCCACCGUCCUAGCGGUGGCGGACGAUCCGUAACGAAAAAGGAAAAGAAACAAAAAUCAGGCACGGUGGCCCGUUUACCUUCACCAAACCCUCUGUGUACCGCUUCCACGUUGCUUCCCCGCGGACACCCCUCUGAGGUGUGUGCGGGGGAGGUCUACAGCAAACAAACACGCGCGUAACAGCGGUCAGAGGGCAAUUGAUAGAAAUGAUAAAACUUUCAACAACGGAUCUCUUGGUUCCCGCAUCGAUGAAGAACGCAGCGAAAUGCGAUAAGUAAUGUGAAUUGCAGAAUUCAGUGAAUCAUCGAAUCUUUGAACGCACAUUGCGCCCCCUGGUAUUCCGGGGGGCAUGCCUGUUCGAGUCUCAAUGAAACCUCUCCCUCAGUUCAGGUCUUCCUGCACGUGAGGGGUAUUGCUGGAUGCCCACGCCGUGAAAAGUGCCGGCACCGCCCAAAUUCACAGUCCGCGUGCCUGGGGGUAGCGACCAACGUAGUGAGAUUCAAUCUCGUUGGCGACGUGACCCCACAGAGGCAACGGGACCUUAAGCGCCAAGGCGCCAAGUCAAAACGGUUGAGCUCGGAUCAGGUAGGGAUACCCGCUGAACUUAAGCAUAUCAAUAAGCGGAGGAAAAGAAACCAACAGGGAUUGCCUCAGUAACGGCGAGUGAAGCGGCAACAGCUCAAAUUUUAAAGCCGGCGCCCUCAGCACCCGCGUUGUAAUUUGGAGAGGCAUCUUCGGUUUGGGCGCCAGCCUAUGUUCCUUGGAACAGGACGUCACAGAGGGUGAGAAUCCCGUGCCUGGCUGGCUGUCCCUCUCCAUGUGAAGCGCCNUCUACGAGUCGAGUUGUUUGGGAAUGCAGCUCAAAUGGGUGGUAAAUUCCAUCUAAAGCUAAAUAUUGGGCGGGAGACCGA